UGGUACACUGAGGGUAUAAAUUGGGGCUGGGCUCAGUGUGUGCAUUCACAUCUAAAGCCAACAUGAAGACAGGCACAGUCUUUGUCCUAGUGGCUUUUGUCAUCUUGGGGAUGGAGAUGGCCUUCGCUCAGAGACAUCCUCCUGGAGAUGGACACAAACCUGGACGCUGCCCCAAGGUGCCCAAAGGAACCGUUGGGACUUGCAUUGAAAAAUGCUCAGGAGAUUACUCAUGUCCCUCUCACCUGAAAUGCUGCAGCAAUGGAUGUGGCCAUGUAUGCAAACCUGCUAUCCAUGGGAAUGCUGUUGAUGACCCUGUGGAGGAAGAAUGGGGGGUGUAAGCGUGCCUGGAGACCAGCCCCAGAAGAUUGCUCAUGAAUGCAUGGAUCCAGUGCUUGGCAUAACAUUUUCCACACACCAUUCCUGGCAAGUAUCUAUCCCUUGAUGUGCAGUCCCAGAAGAUGAAGAUCUAAAUGGGUGGAGAGGAUGAUUCUAUAGACUUUCUGUCCAAAAUAAAUUUUACCCGUGGCAUUAUUGAGACUGUGUCAUUCUUCCCAUUUAGACGUUCUUUCUAGUGGACCCUCUGUGGAUGAACAGAACGGACUCUGUGCCCUGUACUGAGCCCAUGAAUACGAGGCACUCAGGAUAGAUCAGAGGCAAGGCAUCUGCGAGCACC